CUUCUCUAUGACUCUCCAGAGUUUGCCAACAUGCCAAAGGCAAACUGCAUGAAAUGUGGAAGUCUAAUGCCUUUGCAGCUGUUACCUAUGGAGGGAUGCAAUGUGGAUAAAUUUGAGGCAUCUCCUGAUGAAGACUGCACAGUUAUUGAGGAGCCAGUUCUCUGUACUACAGCUCUCUCAGACCUUGCUACCACUGAGAUUGGAGAAUCCACAAAAAUGGGAGAAUCUACUGGGAUGGAAAAAUCCUGUGAGGUUUGCCCAAUCUGUCAGGCAGCGUACCCAAUUGAUGCCCUUCCAUUUCAUGCCAUCAUGUGUGGUGAAGGGUAAGAAGUUUAUAACUAAG